UACAGAGGGGCAAGCGUUGUUCGGAAUUACUGGGCGUAAAGGGCGCGUAGGCGGCCUUCUAAGUCGAACGUGAAAUCCCCGGGCUCAACCCGGGAACUGCGUCCGAUACUGGAAGGCUUGAAUCCGGGAGAGGGAUGCGGAAUUCCAGGUGUAGCGGUGAAAUGCGUAGAUAUCUGGAGGAACACCGGUUGGCGAAGGCGGCAUCCUGGACCGGUAUU
rnacentral:rRNA from 1 species